AUGAACGCUGGCGGCGUGCCUAAUACAUGCCAGUCGAGCGAACGGACGAGAAGCUUGCUUCUCUGAUGUUAGCGGCGGAUGGGUGAGUAACACGUGGAUAACCUACCUAUAAGACUGGGAUAACUUCGGGAAACCGGAGCUAAUACCGGAUAAUAUUUUGAACCGCAUGGUUCAAAAGUGAAAGACGGUCUUGCUGUCACUUAUAGAUGGAUCCGCGCUGCAUUAGCUAGUUGGUAAGGUAACGGCUUACCAAGGCAACGAUGCAUAGCCGACCUGAGAGGGUGAUCGGCCACACUGGAACUGAGACACGGUCCAGACUCCUACGGGAGGCAGCAGUAGGGAAUCUUCCGCAAUGGGCGAAAGCCUGACGGAGCAACGCCGCGUGAGUGAUGAAGGUCUUCGGAUCGUAAAACUCUGUUAUUAGGGAAGAACAUAUGUGUAAGUAACUGUGCACAUCUUGACGGUACCUAAUCAGAAAGCCGCGGCUAACUACGUG
rnacentral:rRNA from 1 species